UCUUAUUGAACCUAAAAAUGUUGCUGAGACUUUGUAGGAUGCAGAUUGGAUCAAUGCUAUGCAGGAGGAAUUCAACUGAUUUGAAAGAAGUCAAGUUUGGCAUCUAGCUCGAAGACCCAAAGAAGAUAAGUCAUUGGUACCAAAUGGGUCUUCAGGAACAAACUUGACGAGGAUGGAACUGUUACAAGAAACAAGGCACGGCUGGUGGUUCAAUUCUACAGUCAAGAGGAAGGCAUUGACUAUGAUGAGACUAUUGCUCCAGUUGCUAGAUUAGAAACAAUCAGACUCCUCAUUGCCUUUGCAGCACAUAUGGAAUUCACUCUCCAUCAGAAGGAUGUCAAAAGUGCCUUCCUAAAUGGCUACCUCAAGGAAGAAGUGUUUGUAAAACAACCUCCNNNNNNNNNNNNNNNNNNNNNNNNNNNNNNNNNNNNNNNNNNNNNNNNNNNNNNNGUGCCUUCCUAAAUGGCUACCUCAAGCAAGAAGUGUUUGUAAAACAACCUCCAGGAUUUGAAAACAAGGAAUGUCCUGAGCAUGUUUACAAGCUGGACAAGGCUCUAUAUGGGCUCAAACAGGCUCCAAGAGCGUGGUAUGAGCGACUAUCAAAAUUCCUUCUAGAGCAUGGGCACAAAAGAGGUAAAAUUGACAACACCUUUUUCCUAAAGAAAAAAGGUAAAGACCUUCUUGUUGUUCAAAUAUAUGUUGAUGACAUAAUAUUUUAGGCUACGACUAAAAAACUGAGUAAGGACUUUGCAAAACUAAUGGGGAGUGAGUUUGAAAAUGAGUAUGAUGGGUGAAUUAAACUUCUUCCUAGGCCUGCAGAUCAAACAAAGUCCACAUGGGACCAUGAUCCACCAACAGAAGUACACAAGAGAACUAAUCAAAAUGUUUAAAAUGGAGGAUGCUAAAGAAAUAGAUACACCUAUUGUAACUGCCACUAAAUUAGAUAUUGAUGAACUUUGUUCAUAAGUUGAUAGGGGUAUGGUUAGUUCACUCUUGUAUCUUACUGCUAGCAGACCUGACAUUGUCUUCAGUGUAGGGCAUUGUGCUCGUUUCCAGGGAAUUCCAAAGAAGUCACAUUUGACAUCUGUCAAGAGGAUUUUGAGAUAUCUGAAAGGCACCACUGAUUUGUGUCUUUGGUAUCCCAAAGGUAGUAACUUUGACCUAGUAGGAUUUGCUGAUGACGAUUAUGCAGGUUACUUGGUGGACAGGAAGAGUACUUCAAGUAUGACACAUUUCCUAGGGUCUUGUCUAGUGUCGUGCGCUACCAAAAAGAAAAACUCAGUAGCCCUAUUAUGAGCAUAUGAUUUUUGACCGGUCAAAACCAACUCCUACAACACUGUAAAGUUUAGGAUUUUCUCUUUUAAAAUAUUAGGAUUUUAAUUUUUGGACAUUAAUUGCAUAU
rnacentral:lncRNA from 1 species